rnacentral:lncRNA from 1 species
GAGCUAAUUAGAUGUGAAUUAACCUCCUUAGACCUGGGAUAAGCUACUUUAAAGCUUAAUUGGAAUUAUUAGCCAUUUAUGAAGCUAAAUUGGAACGAAAUGCAAAUUGUUGAGCGGAUUGAUGCAAUUUGGAAUUAUUUCUUCGCAGCAGGUCUUCGAGUCUCGUUGAGCUGAACUUGUACUCUUAGAAGCUGGUUUGGAAGGUAUUCUAACCCGAGGUAAGCAGGAAUUUCAGUUAGAAAACUGAAUUCGCAAGAUUCCGACUAUAUUUGCUAAUAUAUGAUGAUUUUGAUGUCGUGUUGAUGUUGAUCGCAGCGGGAGUUCAACCGACCUUUGGGUCAUCCUUGGUUGGCUUUGAGAAGCCUUUAGAGACUUAAUUGGAGGUACUAAAGGGAACCAAAACAGCGAUUUAUGUUACUACUUGAUACGAGAUGUGAAUUGAGCCGAAAUUGGACAUUUCGGCCAUAGAUUUAAUCCGAUCUUGAUGUUUGUUUUUCAGCGGGAUUGAGACCUAGUGGAGCUGAUCUUUGGGACUUGCCUUGGACUGAUUGGAGCCUAGUACUAGGUGGGUUUGACCUAACCAGAGCAAGUGAAGCUCCCCUAUGUUCUAUAUGUAUUCUAGAGAUGGCCUAAUUAUAUGCUUAUGUGAUUGUUAAAGGGCUCGGAAUUCGUCAUUAUGACGUUUAUCAUAUUUGAAAUAGAGCGAGAGAGCGUUCAUGCAUAAAAGUGUUCUUGCAUAAAAGUAUUCUUGUUUAGUUCAGUAGAACAACCAAGAGAUCAGUUUAUUAUGUUUCUAUGAUAGAGAAAGCAUAUAUACAUGAACGUAUUUAUAUUCAAUUCAGUUGAAUAACUUAUGAACAAGUGUAGGAUGCACUUAUAAAAUAGAAAACGAUGACAUUCUCUUGACUCUAAAGUAGAGAACUAUAACAUGCUUAUGCCCAUGUUGAUAGUGCCAUAAUAGUGG